GACGAACGCUGGCGGCGUGCCUAAUACAUGCAAGUCGAACGGACUGUGGUAAUUAUGAUUGAAGAGCUUGCUCGGAGAGAUUAAUUACAAUGCAGUCAGUGGCGAACGGGUGAGUAACACGUGGGAAACCUACCUCUUAGCAGGGGAUAACAUUUGGAAACAGAUGCUAAUACCGUAUAACAAUUAGAACCGCAUGGUUCAAGUUUAAAAGAUGGUUCUGCUAUCACUAAGAGAUGGUCCCGCGGCGUAUUAGCUAGAUGGUGAGGUAAUGGCUCACCAUGGCAAUGAUACGUAGCCGAGUUGAGAGACUGAUCGGCCACAUUGGGACUGAGACACGGCCCAAACUCCUACGGGAGGCAGCAGUAGGGAAUCUUCCACAAAUGGACGAAAGUCUGAUGGAGCAACGCCGCGUGUGUGAUGAAGGCUUUCGGGUCGUAAAACAACUGUAUAAGAGAAGAAACGUACAGUGAGAGUAACUAGUUC
rnacentral:rRNA from 1 species